UACAGAGGCCUCGAGCGUUAGGCGGAAUCACUGGGCUUAAAGCGUGUGUAGGCGGAUUGGUAAGUACCUUGUGAAAUCCCACGGCUCAACCGUGGAACUGCUGGGUAUACUGGGUGCCUUGGGUCAUCUAGGGGCUGCCGGAACAAAUGGUGGAGCGGUGAAAUGCGUAGAGAUCGGAAAGAACACCAACGGCGAAAGCACUCUGCUGGGCCGACACUGACACUGAGAGACGAAAGCUAGGGGAGCGAAUGGG
rnacentral:rRNA from 1 species